GGCCGCUUGGUCUAGUAGUAUGAUUCCUGUUUUGGGAGUCUUACGUAGCAAAGCUUACGUAAGCCACAUACAGGAGGUCGUGGGUUCAAUUCCCACAGCGGCCC
rnacentral:tRNA from 1 species